GAUGAACGCUAGCUACAGGCUUAACACAUGCAAGUCGAGGGGAAACGACAUCGAAAGCUUGCUUUUGGUGGGCGUCGACCGGCGCACGGGUGAGUAACGCGUAUCCAACCUGCCCACCACUUGGGGAUAACCUUGCGAAAGUAAGACUAAUACCCAAUGAUAUCCCACGAAGGCAUCCGAAUGGGAUUAAAGAUUUAUCGGUGAUGGAUGGGGAUGCGUCUGAUUAGCUUGUUGGCGGGGUAACGGCCCACCAAGGCUACGAUCAGUAGGGGUUCUGAGAGGAAGGUCCCCCCACAUUGGAACUGAGACACGGUCCAAACUCCUACGGGAGGCAGCAGUGAGGAAUAUUGGUCAAUGGACGCAAGUCUGAACCAGCCAAGUAGCGUGCAGGAUGACGGCCCUAUGGGUUGUAAACUGCUUUUAUGCGGGGAUAAAGUGGGCUACGCGUGGCCUUUUGCAGGUACCGCAUGAAUAAGGACCGGCUAAAUUCCGUG
rnacentral:rRNA from 1 species